AUUCCUACAGUUACUGCUGACCCAAAAAUUCCUUAUAAUGAUAAGCAGUAA
rfam:Vibrio splendidus LGP32 chromosome 2